rnacentral:rRNA from 1 species
UACGUAGGGUGCGAGCGUUGUCCGGAAUCACUGGGCGUAAAGGGCGCGUAGGCGGCCUGGUAAGUAGGGGGUGAAAUCCUGUGGCUUAACUGCAGGGCUGCCUCCUAGACUGUUAGGCUCGAGCACGGUAGAGGCAGAUGGAAUUCCCGGUGUAGCGGUGGAAUGCGUAGAGAUCGGGAAGAACAUCGGUGGCGAAGGCGGUCUGCUGGGCCGUUGCUGACGCUGAGGCGCGACAGCGUGGGGAGCAAACAGG